AGAGGGUAAGCCCUGUGGCAGAGCACAUGCUUAGCAUGCAUGAGGUCCUGGGUUCAAUCCUCAGAACCUCCA
rnacentral:tRNA from 1 species